GGGGACUAUGGUUUGCUGACUUAACAUACCGUUCAUGGGGGUUAUGGGACAGCUUGUGGAGACCUCCUGAAAUGCUUUCAUCUUGUAAUAGUCUUUCUGAUCGAAGAAAACCAGAUUCACUAGGACCUGCAAAUCGGGAGGAACAUGUAAUUCUUCCAGGUUCUAAGCCACUAGGAGAGCCAGGUGGCUUUGAUAAUCGCCUCAUUGCAGCCAUUUCAGCUGCCUGAGAUAUGCAUAGACCCCGAAAUGCCUGCUUUAGAGAAACUGGAUCAGAAAACCCUGUUACCGGAGAGUUUGAUCCACC
rnacentral:misc_RNA from 1 species